AGAAGCCCUGGCGGAAGCUGAGCAGGUGCUGGACUUCCUGGCCCCCAGCUCCGUUAUGUGAACCUCUUUCCUUUGUAAACCUCCCAGUCUCAGGUAUUUGUUGUUAUAGCAACAGAAAGUGGACAAGCCGGAAAGCCAUCAGCAUUGGUCAAAUGUGACCCAGGCCUGCAAUGCCCCCCAGGAUUUUUAGACCUGCUGUGGAGCCAGGAAGGGAAGAGUGAGCAGGGACCGGGACGGCAGCUUGCAGGAGCCCCUCAUGCCCUCCUCCUCCUCGGAGCCCCCGUGGCCCCUGUGGACAAGGCACACCACCCGGCACGAAGAGCAGCCGCCUGUUCUACUCGCGUGGGUCACGCAGCAACCGUGUCAUCGAGCAAGGCCUCGUCACUCUGCACAGCACUGCCACCAACGCUCGCAUCGGCCGGGCAGCCUGCACCUGACCACAUAGACCAGGGAGCUGAGGCAGGGGGCUGGACGCCUUGGAGAUGCCAUUGAGCCCAGCUGGCCCACCUCAGGGGUUUGGCCUGGCUCCUGGCUUUUCCUUGCAGCUACAAAUUAAAAACAAA